UACGGAGGGUCCAAGCGUUAUCCGGAAUCAUUGGGUUUAAAGGGUCCGUAGGCGGUUUAGUAAGUCAGUGGUGAAAGCCCAUCGCUCAACGGUGGAACGGCCAUUGAUACUGCUAAACUUGAAUUAUUGGGAAGUAACUAGAAUAUGUAGUGUAGCAGUGAAAUGCUUAGAGAUUACAUGGAAUACCAAUUGCGAAGGCAGGUUACUACCAAUAUAUUGACGCUGAUGGACGAAAGCGUGGGGAGCGAACAGG
rnacentral:rRNA from 1 species